GACGAACGCUGGCGGCGUGCUUAACACAUGCAAGUCGAGCGGAAAGGCCACUUCGGUGGUACUCGAGCGGCGAACGGGUGAGUAACACGUGAGUAAUCUGCCCUUGGCUUUGGGAUAGCCACCGGAAACGGUGAUUAAUACCGGAUACGACACAGGUCUGCAUUGGCUCUGUGUGGAAAGUUUUUUCGGCCAGGGAGGUGCGCUCGGCCUAUCGGCUUGUUGGUGGGGUAAUUGCCUACCAAGGCUUCGACGGGUAGCCGGCCUGAGCGGGUGACCGGCGACACUGGGACUGAGACACGGCCCAGACUCCUACGGGAGGCAGCAGUGGGGAAUAUUGGACAAUGGGCGGAAGCCUGAUCCAGCAACGCCGCGUGAGGGAUGACGGCCUUCGGGUUGUAAACCUCUUUCAGUAGGGACGAAGCGCAAGUGACGGUACCUACAGAAGGAGCACCGGCCAACUACGUGCCAGCAGCCGCCGUAAAAC
rnacentral:rRNA from 1 species